rnacentral:rRNA from 1 species
GGAGAGUUUGAUUCUGGCUCAGGACAAACGCUGGCGGCGUGCAUAAAACAUGCAAGUCGAACGGGCCAAUCCCCGCAAGGGGAAAGGCUAGUGGCGAACGGCUGAGUAACACGUAGGUGACCUGCCCAGAAGUGGGGGAUAACGAAUCGAAAGAUUCGCUAAUACCGCAUGUGACCACUCAUUCAUUUGAGUGCUCAAAGUCGCAAGACGCUUUUGGAGGGGCCUGCGGCGGAUUAGCUAGAUGGCGAGGUAACGGCUCACCAUGGCGUCGAUCCGUAGCUGGUCUGAGAGGAUGACCAGCCAGACUGGGACUGAGACACGGCCCAGACUCCUACGGGAGGCAGCAGUUAGGAAUUUUGCGCAAUGGGGGAAACCCUGACGCAGCCACGCCGCGUGCGGGAUGAAGGCCUUCGGGUCGUAAACCGCUUUUCUCGAGGAAGAAACUCUGACGGUACUCGAGGAAUAAGCAACGGCUAACUACGUGCCAGCAGCCGCGGUAAUACGUAGGUUGCGAGCGUUGUCCGGAUUUACUGGGCGUAAAGCGCGCGCAGGCGGUUCCGAAAGUCGAAUGUGAAAGCUCCUGGCCCAACUGGGAGAGGCCGUUCGAAACUUCGGAACUUGAAGGCGGGAGAGGCAGAUGGAAUUUCCGGUGUAGCGGUAAAAUGCGUAGAUACCGGAAGGAACACCAGUGGCGAAAGCGAUCUGCUGGCCCGCCCUUGACGCUCAGGCGCGAAAGCUGGGGGAGCGACCGGGAUUAGAUACCCCGUUAGUCCCAGCCGUAAACAAUGGGCACUAGGUGUUGUCGGUAUCGACCCCGGCAGUGCCGUAGCUAACGCAUUAAGUGCCCCGCCUGGGGAGUACGACCGCAAGGUUAAAACUCAAAGAAAUUGACGGGGGCCCGCACAAGCAGCGGAGCGUGCGGUUCAAUUCGAUGGUACGCGAAGAACCUU